rnacentral:rRNA from 1 species
GACGUAGGGCGCGAGCGUUGUCCGGAUUUAUUGGGCGUAAAGAGCUCGUAGGCGGUUUGUCGCGUCGUUCGUGAAAAACUCACAGCUUAACUGUGAGCUUGCGGUCGAUACGGGCAGGCUUGAGUUCGGUAGGGGAGACUGGAAUUCCUGGUGUAGCGGUGAAAUGCGCAGAUAUCAGGAGGAACACCGGUGGCGAAGGCGGGUCUCUGGGCCGAUACUGACGCUGAGGAGCGAAAGCGUGGGGAGCGAACAGG